AGUGGAUGGGGAGCAACCUAGUUGUGCGUGUGUAAAGGUAGUGCCAAGAAAAGCGAUGAUCAUGUUGAAAAUCAAUUCCCGGUACCCGAAACCGACACAGGUGGGCAAGUAGAGAAUACUAAGGGGCGCGAGGUAACUCUCUCCAAGGAACUCGGCAAAAUGACCCCGUAACUUAGGGAGAAGGGGUGCCACCGAGAGGUGGUCGCAGUGAAGAGGCCCAGGCGACUGUUUAGCAAAAACAUAGGUCUCUGCAAACUCGAAAGAGGAGGUAUAGGGGCUGACGCCUGCCCAGUGCCGGAAGGUUAAAGAAGUUGGUCAGUCUUAGGAUGAAGCUAGCGACUGAAGCCCCGGUGAACGGCGGCCGUAACUAUAACGGUCCUAAGGUAGCGAAAUUCCUUGUCGGGUAAGUUCCGACCCGCACGAAAGGCGUAACGAUCUGGGCGCUGUCUCGGAGAGAGGCUCUCGAAAUAGGAUUGUCUGUGAAUAUACGGACUACCUGCAUUUGGACAGAAAGACCCUAUGAAGCUUUACUAUAGCUUGGAAUUGUGUUCGGGCUUCCUGUGCGCAGGAUAGGUGGGAGGCGUAGAAGGUAUUCUUGUGGGGAUACUGGAGCCAACGGUGAGAUACCACUCUCAGGAGGCUAGAAUUCUAACUUAAUUAAGGACAGUUUCAGGUGGGUAGUUUGACUGGGGCGGCCGCCUCCAAAAAGGUACGGAGGCGUACAAAGGUUCCCUCAGACUGGUUGGAAAUCAGUCGAAGAGUGCAAAGGCAGAAGGGAGCUUGACUGCGAGAAGUACAGUUCGAGCAGGGUGGAAACACGGUCUUAGUGAUCCGACGGUGCUGUGUGGAAGGGCCGUCGCUCAACGGAUAAAAGUUACUCUAGGGUAACAGGCUGAUCUCCCCCAAGAGUUCACAUCGACGGGGAGGUUUGGCACCUCGAUGUCGGCUCAUCGCAACCUGGGGCGGAAGUACGUCCCAAGGGUUGGGCUGUUCGCCCAUUAAAGCGGUACGUGAGCUGGGUUCGGAACGUCGUGAGACAGUUCGGUCCAUAUCCGAUGUAGGCGUGAGAAUAUUGAGAGGAGCCUUCCUUAGUACGAGAGGACCGGGAAGGACGCACCGCUGGUGUACCUGUUAUGAUGCCAAUUGUAAACGCAGGGUAGCCAAGUGCGGAGAGGAUAACCGCUGAAAGCAUCUAAGUGGGAAGCCCACCUCAAGAUGAGUAUUCUGGUGUAAGGUCACGGGAAGACGACCCGUAAAUAGGCACGAGGUGGAAGUGCAGAGAUGUAUGAAGCCGAAGUGUACUAAUAGACCGUCGGCUUGACC
rnacentral:rRNA from 1 species